ACACUUGGCAUGGUAAGCGUAGGUGCAAGUUUCACAGCUCAGAAGAUCCCCGUUUUCUCCACAAGACUGACAGCAGUCAUCUUUCGCAUCAGGCCUGACUAUCCUUUCAAUUUUUUCCUGAGAUUUCCCAGGUUUUCCUGACAAAAAAUCAGCAUCAUCAUCUGACUCAUCUAAGAUAUAAAUUGGCCUUCGCUCUGAUCUUACACGAAGCCUUUCAACCAAGCUACUCAUAUCCGGAGAUAGCCGGAUCUGGG
rnacentral:misc_RNA from 1 species